GGAUGAAAUUUCAUUUCAUUAGUAUAUAAAAUGAACUUUUCUUGAUGAAAUAGUCUAAAAUGAAUUCUUUAACAACUUAGUUCGAAUGAUAAUUCUUAAAUGAAAUUGAAUGUCCCAGUAUAUUGUUAGAAAUAUUUCUAUUUAAUAAUCAAAUACUAUCAACAAAAUAUCAAUUAUAAAACAAAAUAUUCCUAUGAUUCAGAAUUUAAAAUCAUAUAGAAUAUAUGGUACAAUAACUACACAUUACUAUUAAAAAUUAAGAAAUUGUCUUUUAGCAAAAUUUUUUAAAUUUCUUAAUUUCGAGAAAUUUUUCCAAGUAAUUGCUAUAAACAAUUCUAUAUUGAAAAUUUCAACAUAUUAAAAUUGGUAAAAACUACAUGUGUUACAAAACACAUAAAAAAGGCUUUAUUUUAUCUUCUAGUAAAAAAACAUAAUUUCAAUAAUGAAUAAUUAGAAAUGACACCCUGUUACAAGAAUUUGUAUAGAAAUCGAAUUUUGAAUACAGUGAAAUAUUAAUUAUAAUAUACAAAAUAGUAGGUUACUCUGGUUUAAUGAUUAUAUCUUGUAUAAGAUAUUUCAUAAUAUUAACAAAUCGAUAUAAAUAAAUGACUUUGGUUUUUUUACUAAAUUAUGUAAUAUUUUUAAUAAUUUAACUGUAUGACGUAGCCGAUAUAUGAACGUAUUAUCUUUUAAGAUUUUUAUGAAUAUUUCAAAUUAUCCGAUUAUUUAUAUAUAUAUAUAUAUAUAUACACACAUAUAUAUAAGCGAACACGAUUCUGAAUUCAUUAAAAAAAAUGCUAUGAAAUAAUGCUAUUGAUAACCUAACAUAUCCGAUAUAUACUAAAGCAUACAGAUAGGUUAAUGCACUAUGUAUAUAUACCUAUAUAAAGAUCGGCUAAAAAUAUAGAUAACAACACUUCGUAUUAGUUUAAAAAAAAUUGCGUGCAUUAACUUACCGUGAUACCGACAGGCAUUGAUAAAAUUGCACACAAUAGACACAAACUCGGAAAUUACACAUCACCAAAAGAAAUAAUGAAAAAAGAAAAAAUCGUAGGAGAAUACAAAGUCUCACCUUGACUGUUAGUUUGUCCUUUCAUCCGCUGCAUUCCGUUGCAUGGAAAAAUAUACAAAAUUUAGAAUGGCUGUCUUCAGUGAAAGGUAUCUGCAGUACAGCGGUGUGGUAGCAAGUCAACACACUGACCUGAUUUGAAACAGCACCUGCCAAUCCAGUUGACAUAACCUAUCACACACUCUUGUCCUCUCUUCACAGACGCCAAAUAGACGGCUGUGCCUUUAAUAAAAUAAAGUUUUUCAAACGCAAUACCACAAUUACAUGCGACCAGCGUUAUAGCACUCGAUGUACCGCGGACACUUCUUUCUUACGGGAAGUCUUCAAACUAUGAAAUUCGCUGAACCUGAGACCUCCG